AGUGAACGCUGGCGGUAGGCCUAACACAUGCAAGUCGAACGGCAGCACAGUAAGAGCUUGCUCUUACGGGUGGCGAGUGGCGGACGGGUGAGGAAUACAUCGGAAUCUACUUUUUCGGGGGGGAUAACGUAGGGAAACUGACGCUAAUACAGCAUACGACCUACGGGUGAAAGCAGUGGAUCUUCGGACCUUGCGCGACUGAAUUAGACGAUGUCGGAUUAGCUAGUUGGCGGGGUAAAGGCCCACCAAGGCGACGAUCCGUAGCUGGUCUGAGAGGAUGAUCAGCCACACUGGAACUGAGACACGGUCCAGACUCCUACGGGAGGCAGCAGUGGGGAAUAUUGGACAAUGGGCGCAAGCCUGAUCCAGCCAUACCGCGUGGGUGAAGAAGGCCUUCGGGUUGUAAAGCCCUUUUGUUGGGAAAGAAAAGCAGCAGGUUAAUACCCCGCUGUUCUGACGGUACCCGAAGAAUAAGCACCGGCUAACUUCGUG
rnacentral:rRNA from 1 species